rnacentral:lncRNA from 1 species
CAUAGAGUUUGUUUAGGAGUUGCAAAAUUGUAAUUUUGUAUUUUCUUUGAAUUUUUCACGCGAGAAGUUCAUUGUUUUGGUGAUGGCAAUGAAUUUCAUUUUUUUUGUUUGGAGAGUUGAGCGUUGUAAGUAUUUUGAUGUAUUUUUUUUGGUUUUGUAACGAAAUUGCCAAAGGGGGAGAUUGUUACGGAUUUUAAGUUGGCAUAUUUCAUGAAGUUAGUGGGAGUCUUGAAUGUUUGAAGAAGAAGAGAUGA